rnacentral:misc_RNA from 2 species
UCUCCGUAGGUGAACCUGCGGAGGGAUCAUUACAAGUGACCCCGGUCUAACCACCGGGAUGUUCAUAACCCUUUGUUGUCCGACUCUGUUGCCUCCGGGGCGACCCUGCCUUCGGGCGGGGGCUCCGGGUGGACACUUCAAACUCUUGCGUAACUUUGCAGUCUGAGUAAACUUAAUUAAUAAAUUAAAACUUUUAACAACGGAUCUCUUGGUUCUG